rnacentral:tRNA from 1 species
GAGUCCAUGGUGUAGUGGACGCAUCGCGUGCCUGUGGAGCACGAGGAGGGGGUUCGAUUCCCCUUGGACUCCCCA